UUGUUUGUUUGUUUUUUUAAUAAUACAGCUGUACUGUUCUCAAUUACUGCACUGCAAACAGUGCCACAAGGAUAUUACAGCUCAGCUCUGAGAAGCCACUGAAUGUAAAGAUUUCUGUCCGAUUUGGCUGUCUACAAAAGAUCCGUCUGUUAAAGAAGCCCAAGUAUGUUUGUUGAUACCUUUCCAAACAGUAGCAACCUGAAAGAAUGGAAGGAAAUCAAAAACCAGGACAUCCCACUUUGUUCUUUGUGAAUGGGAAGGAAUUGGGCCUGUGUUAUAUCUAACCGAGAUGCUGGAAAGCAAUUAACUAGUUGGUGAGAGUAGUUUGCUUCACUACUUCAGCUUAUUGCUGGAGGAUGAACUGUGACAAGUUUAUAAUUCUAAAUAUGUGGUCAGUUUGUAACAUCUAUAAAAUUUUGUUUUCACUUGAGAAUAAAGUUGUUAUACACAAUAAGUUCAGACUUGUGGGAUAGAGUUCGUUUUGCAUGAGUAUUUCUUAAAAUGAUUGUUGCUUAUGACUAAUAUUCAGUUAUUCAGCAAAGACAGAAAAAUCUCGUUGGGCUGAUUUUACCGUUUUUUUUUAACCUCUAUGUCAGUAGAGGUUACACAGAGGCUAGCACUAGUGAACCUUCAUGUAAUAGAUUUAGGAUUGAUGGAUUUGUUUGCUUACUUGUUUCUUCUGUUUAUAUACAACAGAGAAAAAUGUUUUAUUAACAUUACAGAUUUACAGUUACAAUGCAUCUACCUGCUCAAAAUUUAUUUCUUUAGGGCUGCUUAUGUGUUAUGAGCUACUCUUUAUUACACUGAUUCAUAUUAGUGGAUGUUUGUAUGUUUCUGAGUGUAUUGCUCAUUCCUUUUGUCCAGUGUUUAGACUGUAAGAUUUAUGAUCUUCUAGUGCUUUUUUGUGUUUCCAACACUCUUGUCCUACUAAGAUUCUUGUCAUUCAGUAGGAUCCCUAGACAGUACAGUAAUAUAAAUAAUAAUUGUAGUCAUAAAAUGCAUUAAACAUUUAAUCUAUAAUGUUAAAUUCAAUAUGAAUUUUUUUGAGUUUGCUUUUUUUUAUUUUACAUUUGUAUUUUGUUAUAAGUAUUGCUUAUUUGCCUUCAUGUGUACAUGAAAAGAAAUUCUUAAAAAAACCCCAGCAAAUCCAAAUAUACAGGAAUACAGAUACAGGAAGUUAUCUUAGUUCCUUCCUACAUGCUGAUGACCUUUGCCAUUGAUAGCAUAUUUAUAUGUUUGGUUCUGAAACAGCACAAUGAUUUAAGAAAUUAUGUUGUGUACUUUUUUUGCUCUCAUUCCUUCUCUUGGAAUUUAAUAACUGACCAUACAUACGCUAAAUCUAUUCCAUUGUGGAUUGAAACAGGUUCAUAAUCAUGCUGAUUGGUUUGGUAUAUAUUAGUCAAUGAGAAUUUUUGCAGUAAGCAUGAAUGUAUAUCCUUUAUUUCUGUGCUUUUAAAAUUGAAUGUAGGAGAGUAAGUGUAAGGACCAUUGGAAUAAUAGGCUUUUCUCACCUUUUGCUGAACUGUCUAGAGCUUACUCAUGCCGGUUUUCUUUCUCAGGAAAACACAUUGUAGGAAUAUGCUCUCAAGGUCAGAUGCAUACACCAUAUACAGUGAUGUAUGUAAUAUGAAGGUAUAAAAUCUGUUGAAGAGUCUGGAGAAACCUCUAGAAGAUGAGGAUGCAACCAAGGCAAUGGUUGGCUUGAUAUGAAGGAGUUUUAUCUGCCAAUGUGAUUACUGGAGGUCUUGUUGUUCUCUACUUGGACUGCCCCUUCAGGAUUUGUUUAACAGACAUACAUUAUUUUGUCAUGAAUUCAUGCUGGAUGGACAUUGGUUCCAGAACAUUCUGUUUCUUUCUAAUAAGAGGCAUCAUGUUAAUACAGGUGCUCUGCUGUACUACCUCUGUAGUAUAACAGUUUGGAUUUUCUCAGUGCAGUGCUGAUGUUACUUCCUCUUCAAAGUUUUGCUUGAGGGGUUUCCUUUUGGUCAAGUCAUACACAAAGGUUGAAAAAAAGGAAAUAAUGCCAUUCUUUACUGAUUUGAGUCUGAUGUUUUAUUUCUAGGAUACCUGUAAUUUGCUUUGCUGGCAUACAAAUCUACAAGGUAGGUUUUAACUUCUCUUCUGUAGCAAGUAGCUUACUACUGUUGUCUGUAGAUGACAAUUUGAUGCUGAAAGUAAGCUUUAAGCCUCUGCAAAUACUUCUGUCUGUUAUUGCUGAGAAAGAGUGGUGACUCCUCCUGACAGUAGGUGUAUGGAGUCCACAAGAACUAGGUAGGGCUAAUUUCAUGUGAUACAAUUUUUUUCUACCAACGUUGCCACUCUUUUGCCUAGGUCUCUUUUAUGCAGCUUUGCUUUGUUUUGAAAAUUAUCAUGCAGUGCAGACAUACAAGGCAAUAGUUUUGGCUGAUUGAAAGGAGUUGUAAAUGAGUUUUCUAAGCGUGUUGCUAGAACAGGGCACAACAAUGUCCAUUAAUCUCUUCAUUUAUGCAGUAUCUUCUCCAGCAAGUUCUCUACCACUGGUGCCAACUUCAUUUCUUAUUUUCUAACUGAUUUCCUCCCUGUCUCUGCUUAUGUACAGAGUGGUCUUCUACCCUGUUCAUGUAGGUCUCAAAAAAACCCUGCAUAUGCACAACAAAUGAAAACAGAAAAUGAAAUGCAAAGAAGUUAUCCCAUCUGAUUUUUUCAUCAAAUUUUGUCUUCUGUAUGUCACAUUUUUGAAUUUUAAGUUCUCAGAGGCAAAAAAAAAGUAAAUUUAAUUUUUGUUCAGACUUUUAGACCUGAAACAAUAGACAAAAAGUUUUCCAGUGGUAAAGCUUUUCCAAAAACAUUAGAUCAUUUAGGCCUAACACGAACAUGAUAAAAAAUACAAAGCUCAUUAAGUUCCUAAAAGUAGAACUGCAUAGAAGAUUACUCUGAAUGCCAGAGUAGAAAUACACAGGAUUAUAAUUUGUUUUUCCCCUGGUUUUCUCCUGUUGGUUUAACAGCUCAUGUAAGUUGCUGCUUAUCUGUGACAAAUUGGCCUUAAUUAACAUCUGCAGAACUGGACAGACUCUUCAAUGUGCAGACUGCCUCUCAGAACAACUAUAUAAAAAUUUGUCUCAGGACAUUUUUAAUCUUAAUACGAAAUUACCUUGAUAUUCUGUUAUAGUAUUUAAUGUUUUUGCAUCUUGAAGGUUUUCAGAUAACCACUAGUGGGUGGUAUAUAACAUGAAUGAUAGAACUUUAAGUAUAUCCAUCUGGAAGGUGUAGGAACAGCUGUUCAUGCAUAAGGCAAUAUGCUGUUAUAUCAUAUUAAUUAAUCAUUUUGAUGUCACAGGGUGUGCAAAGUGAUCACUGUUUACUGCAUAGCCGUAUGGCUAGCAAAUUAUUUGUGACAUCAUUGUCUAUUUAACUGGGGUGUUUUUAUUAAAGAACAGUAGCUAUGACUAACAACAUUUCCUUAUUUUAGUUUGAAGUCUCUCACUUGUUUAUUAUGGCACACACUCACUGACUGAAUAAUAAAGUAUGUGAACUACAUUUUACUACUGGAGACAGGUUCAAAGGGUAGUAGGGUCCCAUCCAAAUCACUUAAAUUAAGAAAAGAACGUGUUAUUGGACAAAAAUUCUCAUAUUGAUUUCAGUAAAAAGUAUCUGAUCUGGAGUCUUCAAAUUUUGUCUGGAGAACAUUUAGUUUUCAAAGUAGUGUGCAUUGGAACAGUACCCAUGUUUUCUCAUUAUUAGUAUUUAUCUGAGGAAUUUUAUGUUGAUGAUCUCAGAAUUCCCAACAUAUGUCAAGAUUCUCUUUGUUUAUGACAACAUAACAACAGUGUGCUACACAAGCAGACAAGACUGUUCUAAAUUCCAAAAUGCUUUUUCUUUCUGUGUACAUGUCAGUGCUCUGGAAUGGGUGCAUGCAUGCAUCAUCAGAUUAUCGUGUCAGUACUGAAGUUAAGUAUCUCUAGCAUGCUUGCAAUUGCAGAAAAUAUUUUUCCAGGAAUCACAAGAGGAAAUUCCCUAGAUGAGUGAUCCUUAUUUUCAGUAGUAGUAUUAUUUAGCUACUUAUCUGCAAUGAAGGGAAACAAGCCUUUUUUUCAAAGAUUGGAAUCCACAUUUGCCUGAGGAUGAAGUUAGGUGCAGAAAUGCAUGCCCAGCCCCAGUGGAAUGCACAUUACAGCAACACAUCAGGAAGAAAAAAAGAUACUUUAGGGCCAUCACUGACUUAAGAUUAUUUAUCCGUGUUCUAGAAUAGGAACGAUGUUGGUCUCUAGAAGUUGACACUGAUAAGGCUGUAAUGGCUGGGAAAUAUGCCUAAUUUGAGCAUAUAUUAUGAACAACUCUAAUUGUCCUAAAUGUUAUGAAUAAAACUGUCAUCAGGUGGUAAUCUCUGUUUACAAUUGCCCUGAUUAGAUUAGAUUAGUUAGUGGCAGGACUAACUCUCAGCUUCCAACCUACCAGCCUUAAAAUCAGUAAAACAUAAGAAACUCAUGUUUGAGUUCAU